rnacentral:lncRNA from 12 species
CUUUUGUCAUCAUCAUCAUCAUCAUCAUCAUCAUCAUCCAUAGAAGCUCUGUAAAAAGGACAGGGAGGAAAGGUGGCACUUCCUCUUGGCCAGGAUUUCAGGAGCAUCCCUGUAGCUCUCCUCAUCUGCUAUCCCUGCCAGGGCCAGCACACAGGUGGCCAGCUCCUGAGGAGAGUUACAAAUUCAGCAGAAUGUCAAGCUGGGAAGGCAAGAAGGGAAGCAUCUCUGAGAGCAGCUCCACAGAGCAGCCUGCACACGCUGGAAGACUGCAGGCUUCCGGAAGAGGCAGACAGGACACAGAUUCUUUUUCUGGACAACAGAUGUUUUUGAGUCUGCUUUUCCAAGCUUAGCCACCCUAAGAACCAAGUGAGAUUAAUC